UCUCCACUGUCCAUGUCUCCACUGUCCAUGUCUCCAUUGUCCAUGUCUCCACUGUCCAUGUCUCCACUGUCCAUGUCUCCAAUGUCCAUGUCUCCAAUGUCCAUGUCUCCAAUGUCCAUGUCUCCAAUGUCCAUGUCCAGAGUCUCAUAUGAUCUGAACAAGUGUGUGAGACAGAAAUGAAAACAUCUGCUCAUAAGUUUUUCUGAAUGUUUUUCAGUCUGUACUGACAUUUGAUUUAUGGUGAAAUGUGCCAUUUAUUUGAUGUCUCUUUUGAUAGUAACUAAUUACAUGUACUAUAAGAAUGUACUAUUGUACUGCAGAUAAGCUGUGGUAUUCCACAUGAUCAUAUUUGGCAAAGAUAUUUUGUUCAUUUUUGAUUGUCACUUGCUUCAGCAAAAAGGGAACACAAUGAGAUUUACUGACAUACAGCUGUUUGUACUAACCUGUUAAUGCAGAGUGUGUGUAAUGGGUUUAAUAUUUGACUUCAUAUUAUGAUAAAGUAUUUCCAGAAGUUCCUUGGAUUGUUUAAUAAACCAGCUUUUCUCAGGA